rfam:Dipodomys ordii contig_46621, whole genome shotgun sequence.
GGUGGCUCAGUGGUAGAAUGCUUGCCUUGCAUGCAAGAGGCCCUGGGUUUGAUUCCUCAGCACCA